AUUGAACGCUGGCGGCAGGCUUAACACAUGCAAGUCGAGCGGAGCGAGGGUGCUUGCACCUUAGCUUAGCGGCGGACGGGUGAGUAAUGCUUAGGAAUCUGCCUAUUAGUGGGGGACAACAUUCCGAAAGGAAUGCUAAUACCGCAUACGCCCUACGGGGGAAAGCAGGGGAUCUUCGGACCUUGCGCUAAUAGAUGAGCCUAAGUCGGAUUAGCUAGUUGGUGGGGUAAAGGCCUACCAAGGCGACGAUCUGUAGCGGGUCUGAGAGGAUGACCCGCCACACUGGGAAUGAAACACGGGCCAGACUCCUACGGGAGGCAGCAGUGGGGAAUAUUGGACAAUGGGCGGAAGCCUGAUCCAGCCAUGCCGCGUGUGUAAGGAAGGCCUUUUGGUUGUAAAGCUCUUUAAGCGAGGAGGAGGAGCUCUAGGUUAAUACCCUAGAUGCUUGGACGUUACUCGCAGAAUAAGCACCGGCUAACUCUGUGCCAGCCGCCGCUGUAAAAC
rnacentral:rRNA from 1 species